CCCAACCGUAGCGAAGAACAAUACAAAAUGGAGGAAGAAACCGAAUUUCAACUCCCCACUUUGUUCAAGCAGAUGUCGACGCAUUGGCGCCUUCGAACUUUGAAGCAUUUGGUGACAUGCAAAGUUGGUAAAUAAACCUCCUUCCUUUGUCCUUUGAUUUGUUUGCUUCAAUGCAAGGUGUUAGUAGAACAAUGGUGGCAAUUGUGUAAUAUUUGUGUGUAGUGAUGCUUUUACGUAUUUCAGAGGAUUGCUUGUUAAUAAUGAAUCCUCCUUGAGGGGUAUGAUGCAAGAUUCAGUUGAGACCAAUGAUUUAAAUAGUAGAGACUUCUCUCUUCAUUAAAUGUUGUUGAGCACACUGAGUGGUCGGAUGUUGUGAGCAAAGAUGCGAAAUUGGAUCAAUUCCAUGCCUCCCAAUCUUCUACGAAGAAAGCAUCUCCGGUUUCAAACUAUAUCAAUGAAGAAGCCUUCUGUGUUGCUGGCAUGGCAUUAUACCACUCUGGAUGCGGUCGCCAAGAAUGGUCAAACUAGUGUAAAGUAUUGGAAGCGACCAAAAGAGAGUUCCAACCGUCGAGGAAGGUUUUUGGAGCAAGUAAGGAACUCAUCUCCUAGCAGUGUUACCAUUAAUGUGAGCACUCUUGUCGUCAUUUUAAAUGCCAUAUUUGCAUAUAAUAUUGAGCAUUAAAUCAUUGCUCAUUUGUAUGUUGUAGUAUGGGAUAGCCCAAGAAAGGUACAAACAAAUGUCGAGGGUGAAGGGGAAAGCAUUUGGCCUCUGGCCUCGUUGAAAAGAAUUAGAGGGCAAUGUGAAGAGGAAAUAGAGGAAUGAGAAGGCUCCAACGUUGAAACAAAUGAGUCAAUCCAUUGACGCCAUUUUGUUGGAAAGCCUUUCAUUUGCGUAUAUUGUUGCAAGAAUGGCCAUUUAAAUUUGUUGUAGGCCUUUCCAAAAUCUACUUUGAAGAUAGCUAUGUCAAGUUUUGUCGACCGCAACGUAUGGAUCCUUUCAUGUAAUACAACAAUCCCCUCCAGGAUGUGUCACCCUGGCAUGUACGUCGUCUGUGUCGUUCUAUACACAUUGUGAGCG
rnacentral:lncRNA from 1 species